rnacentral:rRNA from 1 species
AAAACUUGUUGCGGUUGAAACGCUCGUAGUUGAAUAUUUGUUGAAGAUCUCCGGUCCAUCCUAGUGAUGUGCACCCGGUCCGUCUUCAGCACUUUUCUGGGGAACGUGUUUGCUCUUGAUUGAGUGGCCCAUGAUCCAGUACUUUUACUUUGAGGAAAUGAGAGUGUUUCAAGCAGGCGUUUGUCGUGAAUACGUUAGCAUGGAAUAAUAACAUAGGACCUUGUUCUGAAGUUGUUGGUUUUCGGAACGAGGUAAUCAAAAUAGGGAUAGUUGGGGGCAUUUGUAUUUAACUGUCAGAGGUGAAAUUCUUGGAUUUUUUAAAGACGAACUACUGCGAAAGCAUCUGCCCAGGAUGUUUUUAUUAAUCAAGAACGAAAGUUAGGGGAUCGAAGACGAUCAGAUACCGUCCUAGUCUUAACCAUAAACUAUGCCGACUAGAGAUUGGGGCCGUCAGAUAUUUGACGCCUUCAGCAACUUGAGAGAAAUCAAAGUCUUUGGGUUCCGGGGGGAGUAUGGUCGCAAGGCAGAAACUUAAAGGAAUGGACGGAAGGGCACCACCAGGAGUGGAG